UACGGGGGGGCAAGCGUUGUUCGGAAUUACUGGGCGUAAAGGGCUCGUAGGUGGCCAACUAAGUCACACGUGAAAUCCCUCGGCUUAACCGGGGAACUGCGUGUGAUACUGGAUGGCUUGAAUUUGGGAGAGGGAUGGCGGAAUUCCAGGUGUAGCGGUGAAAUGCGUAGAUAUCUGGAGGAACACCGGUGGCGAAGGCGGCAUCCUGGACCACGACUGACACUGAAAAGCGAAAGCCAGGGGAGCAAACGGG
rnacentral:rRNA from 1 species